rnacentral:lncRNA from 1 species
CCAGCAACAUCCGAGCUCUUCUCAGACGGAGAGCUAUCCCUCUCCACCAGACACCCCAACCGAGCUUCGACCGACAGGCCUGGACUCCCUGGCAGGCCACAGUAAUGGCCAUGACUCUGCUUCACUUCCUAUAACGGAUCCCACAUGGCUUCAUCAUGCUCUGGCAAGUCACGACAACGGACAUCACUCCACUCUCCACAACAGGCUCCACGUGGCAGGCCACGGCGAUGGCCAUGACUCCACUCCACUACUCUCCGUAACA